rnacentral:rRNA from 1 species
AGAACGAACGCUGGCGGCAUGCCUAACACAUGCAAGUCGAACGCGUGGAGCAAUCCACGAGUGGCGGACGGGUGAGUAACGCGUGGGAACCUGCCCUGGAGUGUGGGAUAACCGAGGGAAACUUCGGCUAAUACCGCAUACGACCUGAGGGUGAAAGAUUUAUCGCUCUAGGAGGGGCCCGCGUCGGAUUAGCUAGUUGGUGGGGUAAAGGCCUACCAAGGCAGUGAUCCGUAGCUGGUCUGAGAGGAUGAUCAGCCACACUGGGACUGAGACACGGCCCAGACUCCUACGGGAGGCAGCAGUGGGGAAUAUUGGACAAUGGGGGCAACCCUGAUCCAGCAAUGCCGCGUGAGUGAUGAAGGCCUUAGGGUUGUAAAGCUCUUUCGCGCGCGACGAUGAUGACGGUGCGCGAGAAGAACGCCCCGGCUAACGUUCGCGCCAGCAGCCGC